rnacentral:rRNA from 1 species
UACGUAGGGACCAAGCGUUGUUCGGAUUUACUGGGCGUAAAGGGCGCGUAGGCGGCAAUUCAAGUCAUCUGUGAAAUCUCCGGGCUUAACCCGGAACGGUCAGAUGAUACUGCUUUGCUAGAGUGCGGAAGGGGCAAUCGGAAUUCUCGGUGUAGCGGUGGAAUGCGCAGAUAUCAGGAGGAACACCGAUGGCGAAGGCAGGUCUCUGGGCCAUUACUGACACUGAGAAGCGAAAGCAUGGGGAGCGAACAGG